AUGCGUAUGUUGAGAUGGGUGUGUGGCCACACGAGGAAGAAUAGAGUCCGGAAUGAUGAUAUACGAGAUAGAGUUGGGGUAGCACCAAUUGAAGAGAAGCUUGUCCAACAUCGUCUGAGAUGGUUUGGGCAUAUUCAGCGCAGGCCUCCAAAAGCUCCAGUGCAUACCGGACGGCUAAAGCAUGCAGAGAAUGUCAAGAGAGGUCGGGGUAGACCGAAUUUGACAUGGGAGGAGUCUGUUAAGAGAGACCUGGAGGAUUGGAGUAUCACCAAAGAACUAGCUAUGGACAGGGGUGCGUGGAAGCUUGCUAUCCAUGUGCCAGAGCCAUGA
rnacentral:rRNA from 1 species